rfam:Gossypium raimondii Chr13_contig_323, whole genome shotgun sequence.
CACGUCAAAGCGCUUUGCUGACAUGGACACAAAUCGCGCUUACGUGGACGUGAUUUGUUGCCACGUCAGCAAAGCGCGCUGACGUGG